AUAGAUAAUGCCACAAUCAAAUUAUAAUUCUAGGUUUUUAUGAGAGUUUUUAUGAUAUGAUAUGAUAUAUGAUAUAUGAUAUAUGAUACGAUACGAUACGAUACGAUACGAUACGAUACAAUACGAUGGCAAGUGGUUAGUUAAUAAAGAAAAGUACUUACAUGGUGGAAGAAAAUAUUUAUUUUUUUCUCCAUAAGCUUAUCCUAAUUAUAUUUUGAAAUUGCAUUAAUAUUGAACGGCUGAUCUCAUUACUGAUAACAGCAAACCAAAUAAGCCCCCCAAGACGUUACAGUGAUUUUACCAAGGGGGUUAAUUGUUUUGUGUCAUAACUAUUAAUACACCUUUUUCGAAUUCAACAUCAUUUACAUAAUAUGUCUCUGUUUCAAAUUUCUAUUUUGAUUCUUAUUUUGAUUUAUUUCUUCAGUCAUUCAGAAGCGUAGCAUCUCUUGCUAGCAUUCACACCCUUUCCAACCCGAUCGGCUCCGCUGUGUUGACGUCUGUGUGCUCCUGGGCUCUGUAAUGCGCACUGCCCGGCUGCACAGGACAUCAGUCAAUGUUCUCAGGCAGAAGUGGCCCAGAGGGUGCCAGAGAGGAAGCCAAAAAUAGGCCUGCCCAUCUAUCUGUCUGCGGCCAUCGAUCCUUUCACCGGUUCAGCCUGGACUUAUGAGAACACUAGAAUCCAUCCACAAAACAAGAUGAGGAGAAAAGAAAGCUGUCUUUGUUUUGGUGGAGCAAUCAUGUGAAAGCAGGCCACAUGGAAAAAGGAGCAAAAAUAAUGACUCAUCUUUUACAUACUGUAGGGCUGUCUGUCUCCCUCUCUACACUUACGGCAUCCACACCUCUCCCCGUGUCAGCGUCGUACGCCUGCUCUUCUCAACAGCUUUGGUGAGGAGACUGUGUCAGGUCAAUUAACAGUGCUGCUCCGUACAUUUUCCACCUGACUCUUCCCAUUAGCACCACUGAGAUACACAACAGCAAAGAGCGUGCAACCACACCUUCAGUGUAAGCAUUUCUUCCCUGCUUUAACAGAAUUUUUCUCCUUUUUCUGUAAGUCAGGAUGCUGUUUUCUAAGCUUUUUUCCCCCUUUAUCUCUCUUCCUCAUUUGGUUUAAGUUGCGGUUGAGCAGCGGAAAGGCCACCUGCAUGACACGCCGCUGUUGUCAUAUUUUCUAAUUACAGAGCAACAGGAAACUAGAGUUUGUGUCGAUGUGAGGGCGUGUGUGCUAGUGGACAAUGUGACCGCACAGAGAGUCUGUUUAUGCCAUCUGUGGCCGAUUCCAAACAAAAUCCUCCUGCAGAAUGAACCAUCCCCAAUCCAUUGGAAGUGUGUGAUUUCAUACUAUCCCGUGAGCUCGGUAAGGCUACCAUGUGACCUAUUGUGACCAGUAAACAGAAAGCAAUGAUGCAUUUUAAACUCAGUGUUUACAGAUGGUUUGCUAUAACCAAGAGAUAUAUAUCACAAUUUGCAUACUAUACAGUACAUACUGUAUAUGAUAUGGACGCUUGUUUCCACAUGGAAUUAAAAAUAAAAAAGGUAAUUGUGACUUUUUAUCUCUUUUU
ensembl:lncRNA